UGGCAGCAGAAGGUGACUGCUCAGGGCCAUUGGCAACAGAGUGGUGGAAUGAACGGUGGCACAAUGAACAGGCAUGGCCAGAGCAAACAUUGAGCAGCUAGAGGAAAGAGCAAGGUGCCUUCUUGCCCCCAACCUGGGAGGUGAACCCAUGUGAAAGAACCUCUGAACUCUGAGUCUCCAUUGACCAAGGACAACACCAGCAGCAGAAAGAGGGGGUCACCUGGAGGCUGAAAUUCUGGAUGAAGAAGUUGAGCUAGAAGAGAAUGUGGAGCUCUCAGCAGGGUCGCCUGGUGGGGCAGGCAGACAGGAACUUUUCUCCACUCCAGAAGUGCUCAACAGGAGCAGGAAGCAGAUGAGAUGCUGGCACAGACCUUGAGGAACACACCAUGCACCUCUACCGACCGGCUUUGGCAGAUAAGGAAGAACCCUUGGUGCAGCAAAAAAGACAUGUUCCAGGAGGUGCUGCAGCGCGAAGAGAGACAGACUAGGGAACGCAAAGAGUGCUGGGAAGCCGAAAGACUGGACAGAAAAGAUAAUGCUGCAUUUGCUAGGCAAGCAACAGAGCGGAUGAUAAACUAUGGAGGAUCAGGCAGAGAUGCUCAAGUCUUUGAUAUAGCUGCAGACUGAGCAGACCUCCACUGAAGCACAUGAACAUGCACAAUUCUUUGCCAACCCCAGCCGCUCUAUGCCCACACAUUCCUUUUUACUUCACAGCACUCCUGAGUUUCCCCUUCACUCCAUCCCCUCUCACAGUUUGCACAAUGAUAGCUGGAACUACACACAGAGAUUUUACCCUUUGUAACAAUAAAUAAAGGCUAGGGUAUUUAAUGGUACAGUAGUUUUAUUCUGUGUUCUACAAAAGUGUUCAGCAAUCAAUUCACUCUCUUGGGAACAGGCUUCUAAAGCAUUUUGUUGCAUGAAUCUUGGGCCCCCAAAUUAUGCAUGGAUGCACCAGGGAAGCAACUCCAAAGCAGACAUGUGUUACUGCCCCUCAUUGUCAAAGUGGUUCCUUAAAGCCUCUCUGAUGUUAAUAGCAGCCCUCUGGGCUCCUUUGACAGCCCUAGUAUCUGGCUGUUCAAAUUGUGCAGCCAAGCGCUCUGCCUCAGUGCUCCACACCUGAGAAAACAUUUCACCCUUAGAUUCAAACAGAUUAUGCAAAGUGCAGCACGUGGCUAUGACCACGGGAAUAUUAUCCUCGGUAAGGUCUAGCCUGACAUUGAGACACCUCCAGUGACCUUUCAAACAGCCAAAGGCACAUUUGACUACCAUGUGGCACCUGCUCAGCCUGUUGUUAAAUCGCUCCUUGCUGGUGUCCAGGUGCCCUGUGUAAGGUUUCAUGAGCCAGGGCUAUAAGGGGUAAGCCGUGUCUCUCAGGAUUACCAUAGGCAUUUCCACAUCCCCCACUGUGAUUUUGUGGUCUGAAAAGAAAGUCCCCACCUGCAGCUUUCUGUACAGGCCACUGUUCCUGAAGAUGCAUGCGUCAUGCAUCUUU